UAGGGAAUCUUCGGCAAUGGGGGGAACCCUGACCGAGCAACGCCGCGUGAGUGAAGAAGGUUUUCGGAUCGUAAAGCUCUGUUGUUAAGGAAGAACGAGUGUGAGAAUGGAAAGUUCAUACUGUGACGGUACUUAACCAGAAAGGGACGGCUAACUACGUGCCAGCAGCCGCGGUAAUACGUAGGUACCGAGCGUUGUCCGGAUUUAUUGGGCGUAAAGCGAGCGCAGGCGGUUAGAUAAGUCUGAAGUUAAAGGCAGUGGCUCAACCAUUGUAGGCUUUGGAAACUGUUUAACUUGAGUGCAGAAGGGGAGAGUGGAAUUCCAUGUGUAGCGGUGAAAUGCGUAGAUAUAUGGAGGAACACCGGUGGCGAAAGCGGCUCUCUGGUCUGUAACUGACGCUGAGGCUCGAAAGCGUGGGGAGCGAACAGG
rnacentral:rRNA from 1 species